GGGAUUUUAGUAAAAACGCAGAUUCUGAUUCAGCAGGUCUGGGCUGAGGCCUCAGAUUCUGCAUUUCUGACAAGUUC
rnacentral:miRNA from 10 species